AAUUUUAAGACAUUGGAGUGAUGAGAGGUUGCCCAUAGCUUCUGGCAAUGAAUUCAAAUUGAGGCACUCAUAAAUAACAAGAGAUUGGAGUGAUGAGAGGUUGCCGAUAGAUUCUGGCAAUAACGUCAAAUUGGGGCAACCCCUAAUCUGAAGAGAUCGGAGAGAUGAUGAGAGGUUGCCGAUAGAUUCUGGCAAUGACGUCAAAUUGGGGCAACUGCUAAUCUGAAGAGAUUGGAGAGAUGAGAGGUAGGCCACACCUUCUUGUGGAAGAGAUUGUAGGUCA